UCAUUGUUUUCAGUGAGUCAUCAUGUUCUCAGUCUCUUAAUUCAGCACUCCGUGUUCCCAGUAAGCUAGCGUUAGCUUGGGUCUGAGGUAGCGGGGAGUGGCUAGCGUUAGCUUGAGUCUGAUGUAGCAGAGAGUGGCUAGCGUUAGCUUGGGUCUGAGGUAGCGGGGAGUGGCUAGCGUUAGCUUGGGUCUGAUGUAGCGGGUCGUGUUUCCAGAGCGUGAAAGGCAACGUCCUGCACUCUAAUAUGUGGAAGCUUCUGGUCAACCAACAGCUUUCUAACCUGAGUCCACCUCAGAUUUUACACUGGAGGAAAAAAGCUUUUCACUUCUACGAAACCCUGUGAAGUGUCAGCAGUGUGUAGAUGGUUGUGUCGAGGCAAACGGCCUCUGAGCACCUUUUUUAUGACUUCACCUCGCUGUGUGACCUCACAGGCAUCUGUAAUGCUCUCUGUCUUCAGAUUAGAGUCACGUCAUCCGGACCAGGCGCUGAACGGGCUGAAUGGACAAAAAGAGAGUUUAGAACUUAAAACAUCUUUUAAUUUGUCAUCCAUCUAUUUUUGUUCCUCUUAUCUGUUCAAUCAUUCUCCGGUGGUAGUUUUUCUUCUUGUUCCUUCAGUUGGAUGUUGUUCUCUGUGCAGAGUUUGUUUUCAAAGUUUCUCUGAGCUCACUUUAACACCUGGACGUACCUGCAGGACCUAUGACAUCACAACUAGUUUGAAGCCAGUCCUGGUCCAGUAUGCAGCUUACACAAGUGUGAUGUGGAAACUU